GAAAAUGUUCCCGUAGUUUGUAAGACGGGUCAGCUUUGCGUAUUUCCAACUAAUCCUUGGUAAGCCUGACACAGCCUCCCGCCCAGACGAGGCUGAGGAGGAGGCUGCCGAAAAAUGUAUGCCAAGUGGUUUUGGCGAGAAGACUUCUACUGAGCGGUGCCUUCCCUGGGCGAGCAGGGCGAGGGGCCGCACAGGCGGACAGGACUACUCAUGGCCGGGGCGAAGGGCAGCCGAGGUGUGGCACCGCCAGAAAGCCUCGGUCCUGGCCGGCUAACGCUAAGGUGACCGUCUAUUACCGGCGCCGGCACGACGGCCGCCGCGGCCACAAGUGUGGUCAGCGGGUGUGCGCUGCGCUGCGGCUGUGACGCUCAAGACUUUACAAUCGCUGACAGAUGUUCAAAGUUGCUGCAGCGAGUGACGGUCACGACAGUAAGACUGACGGAGCCACGACGCGUACAGCACACGCUUUUACUGAAAGGCGAAACAAAAACUCGAUCAAGCACCACGAAACUCUCAUCAACAUGUAUCAUUUAGACCAGGUGUUGGUGUCCCCCGAGGGGCAGGAACACCCGGGCAGACGCUGCUCCACCUGCUGCAGGUACGGCGGCAACCUGCGGCUGUUCUGCGGCCGCGAGCCACAGCCAGUACAGGGUCGUGGCUGCACUGAGACAUAACAAGAGAAAACAAAUGACUAGUGUUCUCCGGCCGCCUCAGUAAGGUGAGCUGAGAUCGAUACUCCCUCCCCGGAGGGUGGGGGGGCCAGUCUGGCCCAGCCCCCGCCGCCAUGUCUGGGCUCAUUCUGAGUCAUCCUCUCCGCCACCUCUACGCUCUUUUGGUAUAUAAGCGACCAGCAAGCGGCCAGGAGACCAGUGGAGCCUCGACCGUGUUCAAAGAAUACAAGAAAUUUGCAGACUAUACCAGAAGCCGAACUGGAAGUGUGUGAAGGGCGGGACGCGAGGGGAGAGAAGGGGCAAGGGGGGAGCAGACGGAGGGAGGUCGAUGACCCGCCCGUCUACAUAAGUGCCGGUUUUGACUAUUUCUCCUGAAAAUGAUUUUUUAUCAAUCAAGACGCUCUUCAGCCGCAGUGAUGAGGCCGCUGAUGGAGGGCCCAGCGAGGGUGCACAGGAGACAAACAGUACAUGGAAGGCUGCAGAAGAGAUACAGUAAGUGGGGCUGAAGUGACGGUGAGUGGCUGCGGCCCCUGCCGUCUGUGCGUCCCGGCGAGCCAGCCGCGCCGCCACUUCCUCGCUGGUAGCCGCGCAGAGCACACCCGUGCUGCCGGCCGCGCCGCCCACCACGCCCUUCUGCCUCACACGUCCCAGCGCCUCAGGGCGUCUUUAAGGUGCUGCUCAGUCUGUGGGCCUCCUGCCGCCUCGGAGGCCAGACGCCCCUGGAAGCGGCGGCGCCCCCUCAAAACUAUAUUUAGCUGGGCCACGAGGCGGCUGACCUGGCCAGCGGCGACCCGUUACGUGACGGAGCCUCCCGUCUCGACCACCAGCCUCCGCACUGCACCAGCUGCUGCUGCUGCUGCUGCUGAUCCGGCCACCACCCUACUACCCGCUACGCUGCCACGGUGCCACUCUGCCACGUGCCGACACAGCCCCCGUCCCCGCCGUGACAGGCCUGCCUCAGCCCCUCAACCCUUCCAUCAGGCCCACCCCACCCGCUAUGGUGGGGACUGGUGGGCAGACUCGUUGUCACCCACAUUCCCACAUCCUUCGGCAGCAAGCGUGACGUGACGUCUGGGAGCAGGCGCGGAGGUGCCAUCAGCUGGUGAGGGGGAGGAGGGGGCGGCACUAGGCAACAAUGAGGCCGGCAGCAGGGAGGCCUACCUCGCUCAGCAACCACCCCAAGCCGUUACCUUCCAGCCCUUGGAGUGACUAACACCCCGGCUGGAAACAUUCCCUGCUCAGCCCGCAACGACGACCAGUGCACCCAGACCCCCGUCGCUACCCCGCCCCCCCCUCCCGCUGAGCGUGCCCCAAACACCACUACCCACCCGAAGAAGGACACCAACCCUUAAUAUAGCACGCCACGUGGCCGUCGCCUUGGCUGCUCGCGCCUCCUUACUGGAAGUGAAAGUUGGUCAGCCAAGGUUCCUCGCGAGGUCAGUGCAGUCCGCACCUGCCCGACCUCGCCCGCCCCGCCGCCAGAAGAGUGGCCCCGGGCCCUGACUGACAGUGUGGGGAGUGAACAGUGAACACGGGAGUGCGGUGACGGACGAGGGGGAGGAGGAGGACGCGGCCGUCGUCCUCGAAGCGGAGGGAGUCGUGGCGUUACUGGAUGUUUUGAUAAACACUUGUGUCUCAUCGUGCUGAAGCAGCGAGUGUCACGGCGGCCCCGCGUCCUUCCCGCUGGCAAGAUGCUCUAGAGGACAUGCUUUACUCUCAUCACGUGAAACCUGGCGGAAGUUACGUCAUCGCAAACAAUGGCCGUCAUGAACCUAACGUCUGACUGGCCGCAGCUUCGAGAGCGUCAUGAAAUGGCGCCUUCCAAUUGGCGCAGACACCACGAUGACGUAACGAAGAGUCUCCUUAUUGGCCGGCGGUGAGCUGUGGCUGGUGACGUGGUAGCGGAGGAGAGCUGUGGUUGGUGGAUGCUUGGGCUGCCAGACCCAGCCAGGCCACUGUCGUGCUCACAUGGCUGGGAAUGGAAACCCCUCUCGCCUCCAGUCUGGAGGCUUCUCAUCAGCUGUUCGCAAGGGCGGAGCUACAACGGAGGGCCGCGGCCCGGCCUCUGUUCCCUCACAGCCCAGUGCGGGGCCACACCGGGACUUGUUCCUCGCCAGCUGAGGCUCACUAUGACUGUGGGCACUGAAUACUGAGGGAGUGCGCUGCGACCACCACAAAAUAGCCUCUAUGUUGCUUGCCCAUUGGGAUCAGUGAAAGUUCAGCCGGCGACACCUUGACAUCAUCAGCUGCUGCUGCCGGCCGGCUUGUCUUCGCAAGGUGAGUAGAACAUUCUAGGGCCAAGUGUUGCCUCUCCCCUUUACCCUCGAGCCGCCACUCAUGCCCCGAGCACCCCUCCACCAGCACGCCGCCCUGCGCUGCGCCUCCCUGGAAGUGUUGGACAAGCACACACCUGGCGCGACUCCCACGAUCACGUGUUAGCAAAUUUAUAAUUACUUAUUCAUUAUUCGUUCACUUGGCAACCAUAAAAGAAGACGAAGAUUUAUUCCGAGUGAAGAGACAACUCUCUGUGAAAGUGUGGCGGCGCGACACACUCCACGGGACCUGAACAGUGCCUUCCCUGGUGCCUCGCCUUGAAACUCAGUGUGAGAAACGAGACCCACGAAAACGCUGCCGACACACGGUCUUGCCAGUAUCCAACGGGAAGCAUUUCACGGCGAGGCAGCGGCUGGCACGCCUGGACUGCCGCGCUGAGGGACGUGGGACCCAAGGACGGGGAAGGAUGUGUUUUUUUGUGCUGCGUUCAGAGCUGGUGUGCAAGGGACGGUGGUGGCCUGGGGUGUGCUAGUGGUGGUUACAAGUGGUGUGACCGUGUUUGUGGUGUAGUGUGCUGGGAACAUUGUGGUGUGUUGGCGGCCUAGGAUGGUGGUGGUGGUGAUGAUGGUGAGUGCCGAGGUAUGAGUGGCUGGUGUGGGGGCGGAGGUGGUGGUGGUGGUGGUCAGUAAAGUGGCGCAGUGGCCUAAUAAGCCGAGGGAGAGGACACAGCCAGGAAGGGACGGACGCUCGGCAACACAUUCCACGUCUCGCUCUGUGAAGUGUGGUGUUGUGUAGCUCGCCGUCCGGGAAAGCAUACCUCAGACCAUCUCAGGUACUUCUUUUCAUUGAGUCUCCAUAGAGUUAAACGUGAUAGUGUUGCCGUGCCUCCCUACACACUUAGUCGUUCUUCUCGCCCUCAAGUCAACUGUUAGUUAGAUAUUUACAAGACAGACAAACAGGACGAGACGGACAAACCUAAAUAGUGCCAGAAGUGUACCGAGCAAAAAGUUAAGUGAGGUGAAGGGUAAGGUAAGGAGAGCGAGACAGACUGACUACCUGGCUGCCUGAGUGACUGGAUGGCUGACUUUAUUGACGUGGGAAAGUCUGGUGAGUCACAGGAGAGCCACAAGUCUGAAGGAUCGCUCCCCAGACAGUCCGGCCGCUGAGUAAGGCGGUGAAUCCCCCUAGACUAUGACCGCUCUCUAAGGGGAUCAAGGAGCUAAUGUUAGGUCGGUUACAAGUUAGAUUGAGGUUGUGGUCUUAGCAUCCAACUCCUAAAUUAAAUGAUGGGUCUCUUGAGGCUUUUGUGUGGAAUUGAAUCUUAGUGCGUUUGUGGUGUUUAGCGGGUUAUUAGGAAUCGAUGUGAGAGAUGGAGGAUAUUUAGUUACAGGAGAAGUCAGAAGAGAGAGAAAUGAGACAAGAUUUUCACACUGUAGGAAGAAGUCACAAUUGGUUUAAGGAUCGUAUGGGUAGAAGAAGGGGAGAUAGGAAGGAUAUUCACGAGAUACAGAUCGGAGUGAGAAUUGGUUUAAGCUUCACGUGGAAAGAAGAGGGAGCGAGAGGGAGGAUUUUCACCAGGUAUAGGAAGAAGUCAGAUGAGUUUGAGUAUUGUAAGGAAAAGAGAAAAGGAUGUUUUUUAUGAGUUACGGGCGGGAAUAAUUCAGAAGAGCUAAAGUAUUGUAGGGAAAAAAGAGAGGUAGUAUUUUCUUCACGGGUUUUCAGAAGCUUGACUAGGAGUAUUUUUACGAGUUACAUGAAGGAGAUCGAAAAGAAUGAAGCGUUUUAAUGAAAUGAGGGGAAGAGUUUUUUUGUGUGUGUGCUAGUUGAUUGCAUACUGAAAGGGAAGCAAGGAGUUAUUUCACGAGGUACAGGAAAGAAAAUUUAUUAGAGUAGCAUAUGGGAGGAGGGUAGGGAGUAUUUUUUUCAAGUUACAAGAAGGAGAAAGGAAUAGUUUUCUCUUUGUAGUAGAAAAGUUAGGCAGGGGAAGUCUUAUGACGGAGUGUUUGAACUGUGGCGCGCCGUUACCGCAGAGUGUGGACUUGUGACAACAUGGGUACGCUUUCUCUCUCUCACACACACACACACAUACAGACAUACAUUUUGACUCGAGAUUUUUUUCGGAUAUUCAUAUUUCACAUUUUCUCUCUCUCUCUCUCUCUCUCUCUCUCUCUCUCUCUCUCUCUCUCUCACACACACACACACACACACACACACACACACACACAUACAGACAUUCACUUUGACUCAAGAUUUUUUUCGGAUAUUCAUAUUUCACAUUUUGUAUUUCCUCUCUCUCUCUCUCUCUCUCUCUCUCUCUCUCUCUCUCUCUCUCUCUCUCUCUCUCUCU